CAGAGAUUGUUAUCUAUCAGGAGCUUCGCAUGGAAGCUUUUGUCGUCUACCGCUGGCAAGGAGAUGCCCGCCAAAAAGCUCUGAAGGACUUGCUGAAAUGGGUCUUAGAGGGUAAAAUCCAGUACAAGGAAUAUAUCAUUGAAGGAUUUGAAAACAUGCCAGCUGCAUUUAUGGGAAUGCUGAAAGGAGAUAAUUUGGGGAAGACAAUAGUGAAAGCAUGAAAAAGAGGACACAUGGAAUCUGGAGGCCAUUUAGAUGAUUAGUUAAUUUGUUUUUCACCAUUUAGCAAAAAUGUAUACUACCUUAAAUGUCUUAAGAAAUAGUACUCAUAAUGAGUUUGAGCUACUUAAUAAAAUACAUUUAAGUGGUAUGUAAUUAGUGAUGGAGGAUGGAAGUUUCAAAGUCAACAACAACCAGUCACCUCACUGUUCACUACAGCUUCUUCUGAGUUGUGGUAGAAAAUAAUGGCUUUGAAGUGUGAAAAUUUUCCAAACACUGUAUGUUUUCAUUCAUAAGUGGGAGCUGAACAAUGAGAACACAUGGACAUAGGGAGGGGAACAACACACGCUGGGGCCUGUGGAAGCCGGGGUGAGGGAGGGAGAGCAUCAGGAUAAAUAGCUAAUGCCUUCGGGGGCUAAUACCUAGGUGAUGGGUUGACAGGUGAAGCAAACCAUCAUGGCACACGUUUACCUAUGUAACAAACCUGCACAUUCCACACAAUUAUCCCGGAACUGAAAAUAAAAUAAAAUUAAAUU
rnacentral:lncRNA from 1 species